CCCAUGAUUGAAGCUGACAAAGACCAAAGGUACAAGCCUCCAAAUGUGACAACGUUGGAGGGCUCCUGAGGAUGCACCGAUCAAAGAAAAGCUACUGUUUGCAAGCUCAAAACCCUACUUAAGACAAGCAUUUUCAGGAGUCAACAGGCAGUGGGAGCUUCAUUGUCAGGAAGACCUCACCAUUGAUCAGCUGGCGCAGAAACUGACAAGUGGCAAAAUAAAAUCUUUAGAGGGACAUCUUUUAUAGAUAAUUAGUGCCAGUAACACGCUAGCUGAUUACAGUGGAUCUAAACCCCUUUAAGAAUAAAAAAUAUUUGCGACAA